rnacentral:misc_RNA from 1 species
CUGAAGAUGAAUUGGGUUGUAGCUGGCUUCUCUCGAGGAGCAUGUGCACGCCCUUUCAAAUUCUUACUCUCCUGUGCACCUAUAGCUAGGCCAUGAAACACUUCUCGAGUGAGAACUCGGAUUUUGGAGGGUUGCAUUGUUUUUGGUGGCUUCCCUUGUGAGUUUCAUGGUCUAUGUUCUUCAUAUUUACACACUUCGAAUGUCUUUGAAUGUCUUUGUGGGUUCUUUGUGACCUAUAAAAUCCAAUA